ACAGAGACAGAAGUCACUGUAUAUUGCCUGCUUUGGAGCAGUCCUCGAGGUGUAGAGAAGCCAGUCGUUGGCAUCCAUUCCCUCAAGACUUGGUCUAAUAGACUCUUAGAGCCUUUCCUGACUCUUCCAGACCAUGUAUAUCAUUUGUGAAACUUUGUGUUGUGUAGGCUUUAGUUUCUCCUCCAACAAAAUGAAGGUAGCAAUCAACUGUGUUUGAGAGCAGAGGUCCAGACCUGUGAUGUUUUGAUUUCCCAAGCAUUUGGAAACCAUAAAGUCACAAAGCACAGAAACUUCCAGUGCUGAAAACAGGAUUGUAGUGAUGACAGGACAUAUGGACAGGUUAGUCAGUGCUUCAGCCAGACACAAAGAACAGAAUGCUUAAAAGUGUGCUUUAGACUAUGGCAACUCCAGUUCAAAGCCUGCUGUGUUGUUUGCUCUGCCACCCUGCAGAUUACAUCACCUUCUUGUGGCUACAAGUGUCAUGAGGACGUGAGUACUUACUUCACAAACUGCUGCAAUAAGUCAGAUGAGAAGAACCUUACAGCACUAUCAAGGGAACAUGGAGAUAGAUCUUAGCACCUUGAAGCAUUGUAUUGAUAAGUAAGGGCCUCAGAGACGUGAGAGCUCCAAGCUAGCCUGAGACGGCCUCAUCUUUAACUUGAUUAGCAUUAGAUCUGUGUUGUGAACGCAUCUGUUGAGAGACUUCGUGCAUGGGGUUGAAAAUCAAAGCUUGUAGUGCCUUAAAGCAGGCACCUUGAGAAGUACGGUGCCAUCUGUUGAUAAAGCAACAGGAACAUUCUCCUCUCACCCCCAGCUGAUCGUGACUGUACAGGAACGCUAACUAGCACGAGGGCUUCUGGGUUUUACCCAAGAGAUAAGUGAAACACUGGGUGUGAUGGCCCAGAAAUCAGGGCAUAGAAACAGAAGAGCAUGAGUUGGCCUGCCACACAGUAAGACCGGGUGAGCAGAUGUGUGGAUGUCCCUCACUGCUCAUGCUUUUGCUUAUUCAUUAACUUUUAUUUAUUUUGUGAUGUUGGGCCAGGGCCCUGUGCAUGCAAGGCAGGUGUCUACCUACUCAGCUGUAUCUCCAGCCCCACCUCUCACCCCCACCCUUUGUGUGUGUGUGUUUUGUUUUGUGUUUGUUUGUUUGUUUGUUUUUGCUUUUUUGAGCUGGUCUCUUGUAGACCAGCAGUAGUCCUGGUUUCCCUUGAACUAACUAUAUGUCUAAGAUGAUCUUGAACUCUUUAUCAUCCUGCCUCCACCUCACAAGAGCUAGGGUUGUAGGCAUGCACCACAAACCCAGCUUUAAUUUUUUAAAUGAGUUAUACAUUUACCAGACAAAAACACAAAAAGAGGGUAUAAAAUGGACUUAAUGGGACUAGAUAAAUGUCACAGUGAUCAAAAGCCAUGGAUGCUCCCAGAGGAACCAGGGUCCAAUUCACAGCACUCACAAGGUAGCUGUUAACCCCAGUUUCAGAGAAUUUGAUGCCUUCUUGUGACUGGCCUCCAAGAGCAUUAUGCACACAUGGUGCACAAACAUCUUGUAGGUUGUAGGCAAAACACCCAUACACAUAAAAUAAUUCCAGGGGAUGGAGAGAUGGCUCAGUGGUUAAGGGCACUUACCACUCUUACAGAGGACCCAGCCUCAGUUCCCAGAACACAUAUGGUGGCUCAUAACUAACUGUAAGUCCAGUUUCGCAGCACCGAAGAUACCCUCGUCUGACCUCCACUGAGCCAUCAGGCACACAAACACACACACACACACACACACACACACACACACAUAUAUAUACAGAGAGAGAGAUAAAAUAAGAGAAAGUAAAGCUAAAUGUUUUUAGUAAAAUAAUUAUAUUUUUAAUUAAGUGUAUCACACUUAGUCUAAUAAGUUCUGACAUAAUAGAGAGAGAGACGGAGGUGAAGAUCGAGUAGCUAAUUGGAAACCCUUCAUCAAUAGGGAAGCCAAGAACCUGAUCCAAAACUCAGUGAGGAAACAAGAUUUUUGGUUUAUAAUGUUUUUUCAUCAAACAAAUAAUUGAGUGGGCUCAUCCUUUGAUAACAUUAGGGUAUUUUUUUCAUCUUUUUUCCUUCUUUUUGUGUGUCUGCCAGACCCAGUGAGAGAUAAAGAUCAAGGCUCAGAAGCCUGUCGGCUCAGGUCCUAAGAUGGGCACACCAUAAUUCUGCUCAUAUUUUUAUUAGAAUAAGGCAAGUGGUUCCAUCUUGUUACAGGUAAGGGAUCAUUUACCAGGAAACUACACUUCAGAGCAAAGUUGCUGGCUCUAGGACUGGGACUGCUGACUUCAGUUUCAUUCCCACGCUGACCCCAAAGACAGGCACUCUUCCCUGACUUAGCUGCCUCUGCUCUGAGCCACACACAUAAUUAUAGGAGAGAACAUGGCAUGAGCCCACAAAGGACAGGAAACAGCAGGAAAUACAAAGGUGGAUUCAGAAUCUGAAGAGAUGUGUGUUUACCCAUAUCCAGCCCUCUUCCUCCUUCCUGCUGUUUCUGAUUCUAAGUCUGGUUUUCAGAAAAUGGGUAGCCAUAAACCCAUCAUUGUACAUGGAAGUUAGUAGAUUCUGAUGAGAAAGCAGGCGCUGCUCUUUAUAUGUACGCCUACCAGCUGGCAACAACCUCCCUACUUACCAUGCCCAUGGAGAACCUAGGUUGUUGCUCUUUUAGUCUGUCUCUGUUCGGCUGCUCUCAGUGAGUAACCUCACUAGCCACUGCUUCUGUUUAUAGUUAUUUAGAAAAGGAGAAUGCAUUUUAAGCAAAUCAAAUGCAUAAUUUGGCUCACAUCUUGUUUAUUCUAUGGCUGCCUCUGAGAGUGGAAGGCUCAGGAAAAUAACUUAUUUAGAUUUUGUUCUCUGCAGCUUUCUUAAAUUCUCAUCAGACAGUUUUGCUGAUAAAAAGUUCAUUCUGAAACACUCUGACAGAAGAAACAAAUCUCUGUGAGUUCAAGGUCAACCUGGUCUACAUAGUGAAUUCCAGAACAGCCAGGUCUACAUAGUGAGACCCUGUUCUCAAAAAU
rnacentral:lncRNA from 1 species